GACGAACGCUGGCGGCGUGCUUAACACAUGCAAGUCGAACGGAAAGGCCCUGCUUUUGUGGGGUGCUCGAGUGGCGAACGGGUGAGUAACACGUGAGUAACCUGCCCUUGACUUUGGGAUAACUUCAGGAAACUGGGGCUAAUACCGGAUAGGAGCUCCUGCUGCAUGGUGGUGGUUGGAAAGUUUCGGCGGUUGGGGAUGGACUCGCGGCUUAUCAGCUUGUUGGUGGGGUAGUGGCUUACCAAGGCUUUGAAGGGUAGCCGGCCUGAGAGGGUGACCGGCCACAUUGGGACUGAGAUACGGCCCAGACUCCUACGGGAGGCAGCAGUGGAGAAUAUUGCACAAUGGGCGGAAGCCUGAUGCAGCAACGCCGCGUGCGGGAUGACGGCCUUCGGGUUGUAAACCGCUUUCGCCUGUGACGAAGCGUGAGUGACGGUAAUGGGUAAAGAAGCACCGGCUAACUACGUG
rnacentral:rRNA from 1 species